AUUGAACGCUGGCGGCAGGCCUAACACAUGCAAGUCGAACGAGUGGCGGACGGGUGAGUAAUGUCUGGGAAACUGCCUGAUGGAGGGGGAUAACUACUGGAAACGGUUGCUAAUACCGCAUACUAUCAGAUGUGCCGAGAUGGCAUUAGCGUGUGGGUGGGGUAACGGCUCACCAAGGCGACGAUCCCUAGCGGGUCUGAGAGGAUGACCAGCCACACUGGAACUGAGACACGGUCCAGACUCCUACGGGAGGCAGCAGUGGGGAAUAGUGCACAAUGGGCGAAAGCCUGAUGCAGCCAUGCCGCGUGUAUGAAGAAGGCCUGCGGGUUGUAAAGUACUUUCAGCGGGGAGGCGUUACCCACAGAAGAAGCACCGGCUAACUCCGUGCCAGCAGCCGCGGUAAUUC
rnacentral:rRNA from 1 species